rnacentral:rRNA from 1 species
GUGAACGCUGGCGGUAGGCCUAACACAUGCAAGUCGAACGGCAGCACAGAGGCGCUUGCUCCUUGGGUGGCGAGUGGCGGACGGGUGAGGAAUACAUCGGAAUCUACUUUUUCGUGGGGGAUAACGUAGGGAAACUUACGCUAAUACUGCAGACGACCUCCGGGUGAAAGCAGGGGAUCUUCUGGCCUUGCACGAUUCACUGAGCCGGUGUCGGAUUAGCUAGUUGGCGGGGUAAAAGCCCACCAAGGCGACGAUCCGUAGCGGGUCUGAGAGGAUGAUCAGCCACACUGGAACUGAGACACGGUCCAGACUCCUACGGGAGGCAGCAGUGGGGAAUAUUGGACAAUGGGCGCAAGCCUGAUCCAGCCAUACCGCGUGGGUGAAGAAGGCCUUCGGGUUGUAAAGCCCUUUUGUUGGGAAAGAAAAGCACUCGGUUAAUACCCAAGUGUUCUGACGGUACCCAAAGAAUAAGCACCGGCUAACUUCGUGCCAGCAGCCGCAGUAA